UACGUAGGGUGCGAGCGUUAAUCGGAAUUACUGGGCGUAAAGCGUGCGCAGGCGGUUUUGUAAGCCAGGUGUGAAAUCCCCGGGCUCAACCCGGGAACUGCGUCCGAUACUGGAAGGCUUGAAUCCGGGAGAGGGAUGCGGAAUUCCAGGUGUAGCGGUGAAAUGCGUAGAUAUCUGGAGGAACACCGGUGGCGAAGGCGGCAUCCUGGACCGGCAUUGACGCUGAGGCGCGAAAGCCAGGGGAGCAAACGGG
rnacentral:rRNA from 1 species